rnacentral:rRNA from 1 species
UACAGAGGUCUCAAGCGUUGUUCGGAUUCAUUGGGCGUAAAGGGUGCGUAGGCGGCGCGGUAAGUCGGGUGUGAAAUUUCGAGGCUUAACUUCGAAACUGCAUUCGAUACUGCUGUGCUUGAGGACUGGAGAGGAGACUGGAAUUUACGGUGUAGCGGUGAAAUGCGUAGAUAUCGUAAGGAAGACCAGUGGCGAAGGCGGGUCUCUGGACAGUUCCUGACGCUGAGGCACGAAGGCCAGGGGAGCAAACGGG